rnacentral:rRNA from 1 species
UACGUAGGGGCCGAGCGUUGUCCGGAGUUACUGGGCGUAAAGCGCGCGCAGGCGGCUCGUCAAGCCUGACGUGAAAAGCCCCCGGCUCAACCGGGGGAGGGUCGUCGGGGGACUGGCGGGCUUGAGGUCGGCAGGGGUUGGUGGAAUUCCCGGUGUAGUGGUGAAAUGCGUAGAGAUCGGGAGGAACACCCGUGGCGAAGGCGGCCAACUGGGCCGGACCUGACGCUGAGGCGCGAAGGCGUGGGGAGCGAACGGG